CGCGCCGUGCCAAGGACCCCUCGCGGCGAAGGCGGAGCGGGAACGGCGUGAGGGGAGAGAGAGGGUUGUGAGGGGGUUCGGACACCGGGUCUGAGGAGAUCCCCUCGCACCUGUUUGGUUCUGUGUCUCCCAUGGAAAGCACACACUCCCUGUGCCUCCCCUGCUCCAGAGUCCACCCCUUGUCCUGAGAAUACUCUCUUCUGGCUGCUGCGGCCAAAUGUGACCGAGGUCCCCGAGAUAAUGAAGCUCCUGCCUGUAAAAAUUGGAGAGGAGAAAGGUCCUUCAAAACCUGCAUUUCUUCUGGGCCAAACGCCUCACUAGAGCCACCGUUUACAAGGCAUAGGCCAGCCAGAUGAAUCAUAAAGUUUAUUUUCCCCACUUUAUUACAAAAUGAAUGUGAAACGUGGCUAUCCUAUUCCUAAAAAUGGAAUCAGUGAGAGCUUUUAGUUUGGACUUGCCAUCAGUGCUGUUUGGAGAGGAGUACAGCUCUCAGCAAACAAAUACGCCAGGCAGCAAAACAUCACCAGCACUGGGCUUCAGAAACCAUCUGACUGACAGAACAGCGAUUUUUUUACCAGUUUGGGUGUGUCUGAAUCCAGGAAGGCAGCCACAGACCCAGCUGCGUGGGAUCUGCCUGCAGUACCAUUUGCAGGCACUUCAGUACAGUGGAGCACAGCUCUGUGAAGACAAACCUGCUAAAUAAACAGACAUAAGAACAACCCUACUCCUGAAUAAGAAAAAAAUUACACCU